AGUAAGGAGACCCAAUACCCCUCUCCAGCCCCUAACCCCUUCAUUCUGUUUCAUUUUCAAAGAAACCAACUUUCCCUUCUCUCAUCUUUUCUCUAGUAAGAGCUCUGCUAGGACACAAAGUUCGUCCGUCUCCAAGGCAACGACACCUCUUCCUACAUCCAAGUAAGUUGAAUCUUAGAGAUUUCUGGUCUGUUUCUUCUCCUUUCCUCUGGUUGAGCAUGUUGGUCGGGUUAGGUUUCCAGCUCUUAACUUCGUUUUGGGCAUGGGGUUUCUGUUUCAACUCACUUUCUUAGUUCGUGGAGCUGUGGUGCCUGGGUUGCCUUCUCUAAGUUGUUGCUCCCUUCUCUUGUGCUUAAAAAGUGGGAGCAGAUGGGGGAAUUCUUGGAAAUAGGUCUGAUGGUAGCAGCGGUGCAGCUUAGUAAGUUCGUGUGUGUGACUUGCAAGAGCAGUUUUAAGGCUCUAAAGUCAUUGUAAUCCCCUGUUCUAUGAACAGCUUCUUUUGCAAAACAGUACCUUUCGGUUUUACAUUUAGCUCAUGGCAUGAUGUUUUGUAUGCCCUAGUAAUUUCCAGUACUCUUCUUGGGAUGACUGUAAUAGUGAAUCUUUAUGCGUCCAGUUGCUCUGAUUACUCGUUGAUUUCUAUAAUUAUGCAAUGUUUAAAUUUA